CCGAUGGGUACUUUCAACGACUCCAUCAAGGAGUGGCAGCAACAGUGGUUCUAUAUCACUGAGCCGCGCAGCAAAAAGUGGGUCGCUGCUCCUGAGUUUCGAUCUGGAGCUCCUUUGCGGCUCACAUCCUGGCCCAAGAAGGGCAUAAACUGGUCGUCGUUCGACGAACUGUCAGUGAUCCAGGCGCGCGUCAAAGGUAUGGAGGACAAGGGCAUCAGGCUUGUUGACGUGGUCCAGGUGAUGCUGGUCCGCCUGAUCCUUCCUUGUCAGCACAGAGGCUGUAACUUGUGGGAGUACGACCCGGCCGAGCACUGGACCCUGCGGGAGCUUUUCGGCUCCUCACACAAGGACAUCUGGAAGGUACUCUUUAAGUCCGGCAAACCAUGGCCGGACUCGGCCGCAGACCGCGGGCAUCAA
rnacentral:rRNA from 1 species